rnacentral:tRNA from 1 species
GCGGGAUUCGUAUAGUGGUAGUACGGCUCUCUCCAAAAGAGCAUGCGGGGGUCCGAUUCCUCCAUCCCGUGCCA